AAAUGGUAUGAGAAAUGGUACAAAAAUAACUAUGAAUGAACCUUAAAUCUUUAUAUUAUAAUUCUAGAUUUCUUUACCUUCCUCUGCAGGUCUCUUGGAUUCUCAUUCCCUUUUUUCUCACACAAGAAAUACGUGUUUGCCUUACAACUACCAGAUGACUGGACCCAUGUUCCAAAUAACUUCUUGCAGUGGCCCCUGAGAGAAGUUAUGUGUGAAUAUCAACUUUAUCACAAAGAACUUGCAGGAGAGCAGCAAUUUUUUCCAAAACAAAAUUGCAUUAGUUUGACAUAUGGAAGAUGGCUGUUUUUGAUGCUGUGAGGAUUCAGUGAGGAAACAUAUUUUUCAAGAGAAUGUGCACAGCAACUUUCAACAACCGCAGACAGUUGGCUUUAGGAGGUCAUUUUGUGGCUGGGAGAUAUGGAAGUGAUUUGAGGAUGUGAUUUUUAUGGAUGGAAAACUAUGCCUUUGGUUCUAAGGAAACUCAUUUUUAUUGGAGAAAUGAGACCGAACAGUACAUGAGUACAACUGAAGUUUUACUGCUCCCUGGAAGUUGCUGUCUAGGGCUGUGAAUGGACCUGCGUGGCCAAGUUACCACUCUGGGACCUCCAGUGGAUUCCUGCCUGGCAGUGCACACUUUCCCUGAGGUGUAAGUACAACUGGUCAGUACUUCUGUACUGACUCCAAAAGACAGGGAAGCAAGGGAAAAAGUCAUAGAACUUUGCUCUUAAAUGACAUUUGUCUUCAUCUUCUACUUGCAGCCUUAAAUGAGUUUCUUGUGUAGACGUUCAGGUCUGUAUCUAAAAGAUGCAUCACAGGUGAGACAUCCUGUGGAGGUCUUGUGCUGAUUCAGGAUCAAUUCUGUAAUUUAUUCAGUCAA